GCUGGGUGUGGUGGUUCACACCUGUAAUUCCAGUGCUCUGGGAGGCUGAGGCAAGAGGAUUGCUUGAGGCCAGGAGUUCAAGAUCAGGCUGGUCAACAUGACAAGACCCUGCCUCUAUAACCAAAUUUUAAAAUUAGCUGGGCAUGGUGGUGCAUACCUGUAGUUCCAGCUACUUCGGAGACUGAGGCAGGAGGAUCACUUCAGCCCAGGAAUUUGAGGCUGUAGUGAGCCAUGUAUCAUGGCACUCCAGCCUGGGUGACAGAGCGAGAUCCUGUCUCA
rnacentral:sRNA from 1 species